GACAGAGGGUGCAAGCGUUGUUCGGAAUUAUUGGGCGUAAAGCGCGUGUAGGCUGUUCUGUGUGUCAGAUGUGAAAUCCCCGGGCUUAACCCGGGACGCGCAUUUGAAACUGCAGAACUGGAGUAAGGGAGAGGGAAGCGGAAUUCCCGGUGUAGAAGUGAAAUUCGUAGAUAUCGGGAGGAACACCAGUGGCGAAGGCGACUCGCUGGACAAGUAUUGACGCUGAGGUGCGAAAGCGUGGGGAGCAAACAGG
rnacentral:rRNA from 1 species